GGGGAAUAUUGGACAAUGGGCGCAAGCCUGAUCCAGCCAUGCCGCGUGGGUGAAGAAGGCCUUCGGGUUGUAAAGCCCUUUUGUUGGGAAAGAAAAGCAGCCGGCCAAUACAGGGGGGUGAUGACGGUACCGUAAGAAUAAGCACCGGCUAACUUCGUGCCAGCAGCCGCGGUAAUACGAAGGGUGCAAGCGUUAAUCGGAAUUACUGGGCGUAAAGCGCGCGUAGGUGGUUCGUUAAGUUGGAUGUGAAAGCCCCGGGCUCAACCUGGGAACUGCAUCCAAAACUGGCGAGCUAGAGUACGGUAGAGGGUGGUGGAAUUCUCGGUGUAGCAGUGAAAUGCGUAGAGAUCGGGAGGAACAUCAGUGGCGAAGGCGACUGCCUGGGCCAACACUGACACUGAGGCACGAAAGCGUGGGGAGCAAACA
rnacentral:rRNA from 1 species